AAAUAUUGUACGGAUUGAAUGCUGUUUACCAUUUCUUUUGUUUUUUCUAGGUGAUGAAGCCCAAUGAUGCACAGUUAUGGCAACGCAACAACCUCCCCCAGAGAAGUUAUUGUACAAUGAGCUGACGUCAGGUCGGUUCCUUGAAGUGGGGCUGAAUAAACCUUGA
rnacentral:lncRNA from 1 species